GACGAGGGAUCCUAGCGUUGUUCGGAAUUAUUGGGCGUAAAGCGGGUGUAGGUGGCUAUGUAAGUCAGGUGUGAAAGCCCAGGGCUCAACCCUGGAAGUGCAUUUGAUACUGCGUAGCUUGAGUGUAGGAGAGGAUAGUAGAAUUCCUGGUGUAGUGGUGAAAUACGUAGAUAUCAGGAGGAAUACCGGUGGCGAAGGCGGCUAUCUGGCCUAACACUGACACUCAGACCCGAAAGCGUGGGGAUCAAACAGG
rnacentral:rRNA from 1 species